rnacentral:rRNA from 1 species
AUUGAACGCUGGCGGCAGGCCUAACACAUGCAAGUCGAGCGAGCGGCGGACGGGUGAGUAAUGUCUGGGAAACUGCCUGAUGGAGGGGGAUAACUACUGGAAACGGUAGCUAAUACCGCAUACCAUCAGAUGUGCCCAGAUUGGAUUAGCUAGUGGGUGGGGUAAUGGCUCACCUAGGCGACGAUCCCUAGCUGGUCUGAGAGGAUGACCAGCCACAAUGGGACUGAGACACGGUCCAGACUCCUACGGGAGGCAGCAGUGGGGAAUAUUGCACAAUGGGCGCAAGCCUGAUGCAGCAAUGCCGCGUGUGUGAAGAAGGCCUUGGGGUUGUAAAGUACUUUCAGCUAGGAGGCGUUACUCACAGAAGAAGCACCGGCUAACUCCGUGCCAGCCGCCGCGGUAAUUC